UGUUUGUUGUACCUAAUCUCACACUGGCAAAAGCUGUUAUGACAGAAAGACAGAUUGAACCUGCUAUUAAUAAUGCAAAGAUGUCAUUGCUUCCCAAAAGAGAUUCUUAGCACAGCUUGUGGGAGAGAUUAGGUCUGCUUCUAAUAACGUGAAUAAUAUUAAAGAGGGACAUUGUCUACUGUAUGAGUAGAAAGGGUUUGGUUUUUUUCCUGAAGAGCCUUUGAAAGGGCAAAAAAAGGACCCAGACUAGAGAAGUUAUACCAUCCCAUGCUUUCUCAUAAUUUUCCAUUAGAAAAAUUAAAAUUUGGGCUUCCAUUUAUACAUUUAAUUCUUGUUGUGGAUACACUCUUGGCCUUGAAGAGCGUGUUGGAGAAGAAGGCAGGACUGUUCAAAAGGAAGAAAAUUGGAGACCUGUGCCGUCUGAUAUAAGACUCAAGAACCAAAAAAACCCCACCACCCUACCAAAACCGGACCAGUAGUGACCCGUGUCAGUGGGAAAUGGAACAAAACAAUAGGAAUAUGCAUCAGGAUGUGGAUGAAAAGAGAAACUGUGGUCCGGCUUCUGCCCUGGGAACUAAAGCAGGCGUGCUUGAAGGUGUAGGACAUAAUUUUCUUGUAGAAGGAAUGAAAGCACCUGGGACCAUGAAGAUUUUACAAAAAUGGCUCGGUUUCACACUUCCUGAAGUAUGCACUACUGUCUGAAGCAGCACCCACCUGAGGAAAACUUCAACAUCCAGCUUCAGCAGAGGAAAAGCACAUGAAGCCCAGACGUGUGAAACUGGAAUCACCACUGAGAGGGACCUAUG
rnacentral:lncRNA from 1 species